CCGAAGAUCAACAAUCCUCCGUCCUGCCACUCUCACUCUCCCUCGCGGACCUGGAACACAAACUUACCUCGAAGACGGAAUCACUUUCCUCCUGGAUAUUCUUUGCCUCCUCCUCCGAAGCUUACCUCUCUCCCAAGAGCCUGACGAAUCUACUUCCACCCUUUGUAAAUAAACUUCACUUAAACUUUU